rnacentral:rRNA from 1 species
GACGAACGCUGGCGGCGUGCCUAAUACAUGCAAGUAGAACGCAGUUUCGAACGGGGGAGUAUCACGUCGGUAACUGCCUCAAAGCGGGGGGUAACUAUUGGAAACGAUAGCUAAAACCGCAUACUGUGAGCUGGACCUGCGGUGGAUUAGGUAGUUGGUGAGGUAAAGUGCCACCAAGGCGACGAUACAUAGCCGACCUGUGAGGGUGGUCGGGCAAACUGGGACUGAGACAAGGGCCAGACCUCGUCGGGGAGGAGCAGUAGGGAAUUUUCGGCAAUGGACGGCAGGCUGACCGAGCCAAGCCGCGUUAGUGAAGAAGGUUGUCGGAUCUUAAAGCUAUGUUGUUAGAGAAGCGGUAACUAACCAGAAAGGGACGGCUAACUACGUGCCAGCAGCCGCGGUAAUAC